UGGAGAGGGUUCUGAUGCUCCAUUGGCAUCAUUGGAUGUACGUGGAAUCAAGGAGUCCCACUUGCAUAUGAUGUUACAAAGAAUUGAUAUAUCCUUCAAAGAAUCUAUUAGAAGAAAUGUCCAAAAUGAAGUGAAGAGGCAAAAUGGAGACACUGUCGAAAAACUCAAGAUAGAAGUAAUUGAAAUAGCCACAGACCAAGAUUGCGGUACUGAUAUUUACUGUCCUACUUCUGUCUUAGGAAGGAAACUUCAACUUCCUUGUCCAUCAAAAUUUGUUCUGCUAACUCAGUUUCUACCAAUCUGCCAGAAGAAAUUCAGCUUGAGACUCGGUGUCUUCUACUUGAUACUGUUUGAUAUUUGUGAUGUGAACUGAAUAUGAGUCCUUGACAGAUAUCAUCACAAAGCACAACGGACACCUUUUCCAGCAGUCUGCACCUUGGAUCACGAGAAUCUCCACUGUCCACAUCAGACACUCUUGAAGCAUCAGCUCUCCUCCUAAAAGAGGUUACCAUGGAGUCAAUUUUUUUACAGCAAUGUCCACUUGACUCUCCGAAUUUAUGACAGCGGCAAUGCUGGAAAAACGNUUUUGAAUUCAACUGUCCUGCUGCCAAUACUCUACUGUUCUGUCAAAAUCAACUGGGCUCACCAUUUCUGCCUAAUCAACAAACUGUCCACUAGUAUUGACUGAAAAUACCAAAAAUAUGGGACAGUCACCAGGCUUCUCCUUGGCUUCCUAAUAUGUUGCAUCUAGCUUCUUGUUGCCAUUAGGGGUGCUUGUCCACACAUUAUAUUUCAUGCUUUUAUGAAUAUCAUCCUCACUAUAAGAUUUGACGGCAUACAACAUUGCAUCCGAAUAACUCUCGGAUAAAUCUUCCGGUUGUAAUGUUGCUUGUUGGGAACUGGAUGCACUUAUUUAUCAUCAUCACUCUUGACAGGAAGGUCCUGACCCUUGAGCAAUAAUGCGACAGAUCCAAGACUUUUGACAUUUUCCUCAUCAGAACCGUUAGAACCUCUUGGUUUGGAUCGAAUAUGAAACCGAUACUGGAAAUUCAUUACUUCUGCUUCUCAAACCGAUCCAGAUUGUGGCAGGAUUUUUAUGGAAUUGCAUGAUGGCUGUUGGAAGCCAAUUGAUGCUGGAGAGGGUUUUGAUGCUCCAUUGGCAUCAUUGGAUGUACGUGGAAUCGAGGAGUCCCACUUGCAUAUGAUGUUACAAAGAAUUGAUAUAUCCUUCAAAGAAUCUAUUAGAAGAAAUGUCCAAAAUGAAGUGAAGAGGCAAAAGGGAGACACUGUCGAAAAACUCAAGAUAGAAGUAAUUGAAAUAGCCACAGACCAAGAUUGCGGUACUGAUAUUUACUGUCCUACUUCUGUCUUAGGAAGGAAACUUCAACUUCCUUGUCCAUCAAAAUAUGUUCUACUAACUCAGUUUCUCCCAAUCUGCCAGAAGAAAUUCAGCUUGAGACUCGGUGUCUUCUACUUGAUACUGUUUGAUAUUUGUGAUGUGAACUGAAUAUGAGUCCUUCACAGAUAUCAUCAUAAGGCACAACGAACACCUUUUCCAGCAGUCUGCACCUUGGAUCACGAGAAUCUCCACUGUCCACAUCAGACA
rnacentral:lncRNA from 1 species